rnacentral:rRNA from 1 species
GACGAACGCUGGCGGCGUGCCUAAUACAUGCAAGUAGAACGCUGAAGAGAGGAGCUUGCUCUUCUUGGAUGAGUUGCGAACGGGUGAGUAACGCGUAGGUAACCUGCCUGGUAGCGGGGGAUAACUAUUGGAAACGAUAGCUAAUACCGCAUAAAAUUGAUUAUUGCAUGAUAAUUAAUUGAAAGAUGCAAUUGCAUCACUACCAGAUGGACCUGCGUUGUAUUAGCUAGUUGGUGAGGUAACGGCUCACCAAGGCGACGAUACAUAGCCGACCUGAGAGGGUGAUCGGCCACACUGGGACUGAGACACGGCCCAG